rnacentral:rRNA from 1 species
UACGUAGGGGGCAAGCGUUGUCCGGAAUUAUUGGGCGUAAAGAGCGCGUAGGCGGUCCGAUAAGUCGGCUGUGAAAGUCAUGGGCUCAACCCAUGAAAGCCGGCCGAUACUGUCGGACUAGAGUCCGGAAGAGGCAAGUGGAAUUCCCGGUGUAGCGGUGAAAUGCGUAGAGAUCCGGAGGAACACCAGUGGCGAAGGCGACACGCUGGGCCGUACCUGACACUGAUGCGCGACAGCAUGGGGAGCAAACAGG